rnacentral:rRNA from 1 species
AGCGCAGGUGGUUGUAUAAGUCUGAAGUAAAAGGCAGUGGCUCAACCAUUGUGUGCUUUGGAAACUGUACAACUUGAGUGCAGAAGGGGAGAGUGGAAUUCCAUGUGUAGCGGUGAAAUGCGUAGAUAUAUGGAGGAACACCGGUGGCGAAAGCGGCUCUCUGGUCUGUAACUGACACUGAGGCUCGAAAGCUGGGGAGCAAACA